rnacentral:ncRNA from 1 species
GCCGUCCUUAUCUUGGGGUUGCGCGGCUGCUCAAUGAACGCGUGGUGAGAGCAGCACUGCUAACGCCUAGAGCAACACGCAGCGCCCGUCGCUUUGCGGCGUGGCGCAAUUUUUGGAACC